CCUACGGGAGGCAGCAGUGGGGAAUAUUGCACAAUGGGGGGAACCCUGAUGCAGCGACGCCGCGUGGGUGAAGGAGUAUUUCGGUAUGUAAAGCCCUAUCAGCAGGGAAGAACAAUGACGGUACCUGACUAAGAAGCACCGGCUCCAUACGUCCCAGGAGCCGCGGUAAAACGUAUGGUGCAGGCGGUAUCCGGAUUUACUGGGUGUAAAGGGCGCGUAUACGGGGAUGUAAGACUGGAGUGAAAGUCGCGGGCCCAAACCCCGGACUGCUCUGGAAACUAUGUUACAAGAGUGCAGGAGAGGUGAGCGGAACUCCUAGUGUAGCGGUGAAAUGCAUAGAUAUUAGGAGGAACACCAGUGGCGAAGGCGGCUCACUGGACUGUAACUGACGUUGAGGCUCGAAAGCGUGGGGAGCAAACAGGAUUAGAUACCCGAGUAGUC
rnacentral:rRNA from 1 species